rnacentral:rRNA from 1 species
GAUGAACGCUGGCGGCGUGCCUAAUACAUGCAAGUCGAGCGAACGGACGAGAAGCUUGCUUCUCUGAUGUUAGCGGCGGACGGGUGAGUAACACGUGGAUAACCUACCUAUAAGACUGGGAUAACUUCGGGAAACCGUAGCUAAUACCGGAUAAUAUUUUGAACCGCAUGGUUCAAAAGUGAAAGACGGUCUUGCUGUCACUUAUAGAUGGAUCCGCGCUGCAUUAGCUAGUUGGUAAGGUAACGGCUUACCAAGGCAACGAUGCAUAGCCGACCUGAGAGGGUGAUCGGCCACACUGGAACUGAGACACGGUCCAGACUCCUACGGGAGGCAGCAGUAGGGAAUCUUCCGCAAUGGGCGAAAGCCUGACGGAGCAACGCCGCGUGAGUGAUGAAGGUCUUCGGAUCGUAAAACUCUGUUAUUAGGGAAGAACAUAUGUGUAAGUAACUGUGCACAUCUUGACGGUACCUAAUCAGAAUGCCACGGCUAACUACGUG